GGGGAUUUAGCUCAGUGGUAGAGCACAUGUCUAGCAAGCACAAGGCCCUGGGUUCAAUUCUCAGCUCCA
rnacentral:tRNA from 1 species